rnacentral:rRNA from 1 species
AUGCAGGUACAUGACACUAUUGUGUUGUCUGUAGAGGUUCUCAUUCUGAAAGAAACUGCAACUAUGCAAGAGCUUAUUGACGGAGAUUAUGAAAUUUGCAGUUCAAGUUCUGGACAUCAGAUUGAUACUUUACCAAAGGUGCACCAAUCGGCCCUCCGUCUCCUAGGGUGA